UGCAUACCUAGCCAAAUGAUUGAGAUCAUGUGCCCAUUUGUGAGACUUCACCUUUUGUGUGUGUGUGUGAAUCAAUGUGAGAGCUGAUUGAAGGGACUUGUUGGUAAAGAGUAUUGCAACUUGAGUAGAGAAAAAAAAAGAGUAUGGAUAGGCCUAGAGAAGCUAGAGUAUAAUAAGGAGAAUGCUCAUGCUAUUUGCUAUGUUUCUUUAGGAUGUUAAGUUGAGUGCUAGGAAGUGUUACUUUUGGCUAUGAGUUCCCACCUUCAAACU
rnacentral:lncRNA from 1 species